GACGAACGCUGGCGGCGUGCUUAACACAUGCAAGUCGAACGGUGAAGCGCCUUCCUUUUUGGUGGGUGUGGAUGAGUGGCGAACGGGUGAGUAACACGUGAGUAACCUGCCCCCUUCUUCUGGAUAACCGCAUGAAAGUGUGGCUAAUACGGGAUAUUCUGGGUCUGUCGCAUGAUGGGUCUGGGAAAGAUAUUGUUUCGGUGGGGGAUGGGCUCGCGGCCUAUCAGCUUGUUGGUGGGGUGAUGGCCUACCAAGGCGGUGACGGGUAGCCGGCCUGAGAGGUUGGCCGUUCACACUGGGCCGGGGCCACGGCCCAGCCUCCUCCGGGAGGCAGCAGUGGGGAUAUUGCACAAUGGGCGCAAGCCUGAUGCAGCGACGCCGCGUGAGGGAUGGAGGCCUUCGGGUUGUGAACCUCUUUCGCCAGUGAAGCAGGCCUGCCUCGUUUGUGGGUGGGUUGACGGUAGCUGGAUAAGAAGCGCCGGCUAACUACGU
rnacentral:rRNA from 1 species